rnacentral:rRNA from 1 species
UUCGCCGCUCGCGACGUCUUGAGAAGUCCACUGAACCUUAUCAUUUAGAGGAAGGAGAAGUCGUAACAAGGUUUCCGUAGGUGAACCUGCGGAAGGAUCAUUGCUGGAGGCCUCGAUGAGGAGGACCGCGCACUCGUCAACGACGAUGGUCGUCGGCCCGGGCCUCCCCCCGGGCCGGCGUGUCCGUGCCCCUGCGGCGCGGAUGUUCCCUACCAAACCUCCGGCGCGGUGGGCGCCAAGGAAGAGAAAACUUGCGGGCGGGUGGGAUUGCGUCCUACCCGCUGCGGUUAAUUUUACGGAACCGAAUGACUCUCGGCAACGGAUAUCUCGGCGCUCGCAUCGAUGAAGAACGUAGCGAAAUGCGAUACGUGGUGUGAAUUGCAGAAUCCCGCGAACCAUCGAGUCUUUGAACGCAAGUUGCGCCCGAGGCCUUGUGGACGAGGGCACGCCUGCCUGGGCGUCACGCCGUAGUCGCUCCGUGCCCCCACGCACGCGCAGGUGCGCGUAGCCGGAUGCGGAUGGUGGCCCCCCGUGCCUCCUGGUGCGGUUGGCCGAAGAGUGGGCCGUCGCCUGUGGUCGUACACGACGCGUGGUGGCGCCGCGAGCAAGCCGAACGUCGUGUCGCGGCCGUGGAGGCGAAGCUUCCGGGGACCCCCCACCCCACGCCAUAAUUUUUGGCCCAGGAUUGCGACCUCAGGUCAGGCGGGGCAACCCGCCGAGUUUAAGCAUAUAAAUAAGCGGAGGAGAAGAAACUUACGAGGAUUCCCAUAGUAACGGCGAGCGAACCGGGAUCAGCCCAGCUUGAGAAUCGGACGGCCGCGCCGUUCGAA